rnacentral:rRNA from 1 species
UACGUAGGGAGCAAGCGUUGUCCGGAAUCAUUGGGCGUAAAGCGCGUGUAGGCGGUUACAUAAGUCUGUUGUGAAAGUCGGAGGCUCAACCUUUGAAAGCCGAUGGAUACUGUGGAGCUAGAGUACGGAAGAGGCGAGUGGAAUUCCUGGUGUAGCGGUGGAAUGCGCAGAUAUCAGGAGGAACACCAAUAGCGAAGGCAGCUCGCUGGGACGUUACUGACACUGAGGCGCGAAAGCGUGGGGAGCGAACAGG